rnacentral:rRNA from 1 species
AUGUCGACAUUCAGCGCUUCUGGAGAGUUCCAUACAGGAAAAGGGUACGACUCCUUGAUUGAUGUUGCAGCCAGCGUCAUCCACCCGUUCUACAAAGGCAUGACGAAGAACAUCAACACGCAGGAAGACCACAAAUUGUGGGUGAUCAGUCCGCUACCAGACAAGCUCAUCGAUUACGCACGAAAAGAUGCGUACGCCAUGUACAAGUCAUGGAACAUCAUUGACAACAUCACAAAUGGUAGGGAAAUUGCAAAAGCGCGGGAGGUUGACCACUACUACGACCUCCCCUUCCGCCCCUUUUAG